ACAGGCUCGAAAGGUCCAUGCUCCUUUCUCCUGCCCAUUCUAUAGCAUAAGAAGACAGUCUCUGAGUGAUAAUCUUCUCUUCAAAAGAAGAAAACUAGGAAGGAGUAAGCACAAAGAUCUCUUCACAUUCUCCGGGACUGCGGUACCAAAUAUCAGCACAGCACUUCUUGAAAAAGGAUGUAGAUUUUAAUCUGAACUUUGAACCAUCACUGAGUGGCCCGCCGGUUUCUGAGCCUUCUGCCCUGCGGGGACACGGUCUGCACCCUGCCCGCGGCCACGGACCAUGACCAUGACCCUCCACACCAAAGCAUCUGGGAUGGCCCUACUGCAUCAGAUCCAAGGGAACGAGCUG
rnacentral:lncRNA from 1 species